rnacentral:rRNA from 1 species
CACGGGGGGAGCAAGCGUUGUUCGGAAUCACUGGGCGUAAAGGGCGUGUAGGCGGUCAGGUAAGUCUGAUGUGAAAGCCCGGGGCUCACCCCCGGAAGUGCAUUGGAAACUGAUGGACUCGAGUCCCGGAGAGGAGAGUGGAAUUCCUGGUGUAGCGGUGACAUGCGUAGAUAUCAGGAGGAACACCGGUGGCGAAGGCGGCUCUCUGGACGGUGACUGACGCUGAGACGCGAAAGCGUGGGGAGCAAACAGG